CAGUAAAAGGUCUUGGGCAUAGAAAGGCAUAUUUUAAUACUCUGUAUCACAAAAUAUGCACAUCUUAGGGAAACAUGCAAACCCCUCCCUAUUAAAUCAUGCAAAUCCUUAAUUUAAAGAAAUCACAAUAAAUGGUCAGAAAAAUCCAUUUCUGUUAUCAAUUUCAGAAGCAAAACAUAUACUGUAGCAAGUGUGCAUAUAUUGAGUUUGCCCUGAAACUCCUGAGCACUAAAUCCUUCUUCUUAAAUCCUUCUUGCUUGCUGUUCCUUAAUUUUGACUGAGAAAACCCAAGUGCUGGAUCCUCUGCUUUUCCCAGGGGACAUCUGUUUUAAAUGCUGAAUCUAGAUUUCUGGUCCCCCCUGCCCACCCACACAGAAGAAGGAAAGGCUGUUGCUUGUGUAACACAGAUAAAACAGAGAAUGCCUAAGAAUUGGGAAUUCUCUUAAUUCCAUGUGAUACUGUUUGCAAUUUCUUCUAAAAUACCUCCAUGAUUUUUCACUGUGAUACUGAACAAGGGGAUAGGGAAAGAAGUUGCAUUUAAAAUAUCUGCUUCAGCUCAGCAUCCUGGUGUAGGUCAGUGUUCACUUCAUCAUAUUUUUAUGUUGACCCGUUUGUGCGUGUGGGUUUAGUUCUUGUGCUACUUGCUGGUUAGUAUGUCGGUAUGCCAGGAGGCAUACCAGGGCAACAACAUAUGCCUAAAAUUUCUGAUCAGGAACAUGUUCAAAAGAUAGUGUCAAGUGUUAAAGUAUUUCUAGGGAGAUGUAGUCAAUGCAUUACCAACAAAAUUUGACUGUACUAUAUGUAAAAUGAGUUAUUUCAGCUUUUGACUCCGUUUUCACGGCUAGUUCAGGGAUGCGUAAGAGUGAAUGCUGCUUUGCACUUCAGAAACAAGUACAGCUCCUAACCUCCAAGCAUGUGCCUGGCUGUGGUGCCGAGUAACAGUGACCAUGCAAAUGAGUAGCCACAAAACUACACUGUUGUCCAGACCAUGGGGAAAAUCUGAGCUGGAAAAAUACAAGUACCAGCACCAGCAAUACUGUGUCCAAAAUGUAGACAAGCACACAGGCAAUUAAUAUUGGAGAAUCCAGGGCAACACCCAUUCAAAUAAAGCAUGAUAAAACCCAAGACAUUAAACUUGAGUGAAUAAACUCUGAUGACUGAA
rnacentral:lncRNA from 1 species